rnacentral:rRNA from 1 species
ACCGGCAGCUCAAGUGGUGGCCAUUAUUAUUGGGCCUAAAGCGUUCGUAGCCGGUUUGAUAAGUCUCUGGUGAAAUCCCGCAGCUUAACUGUGGGACUUGCUGGAGAUACUAUCAGACUUGAGGUCGGGAGAGGUUAGGGGUACUCCCAGUGUAGGGGUAAAAUCCAAUAAUCCUGGGAGGACUACCUGUUGCGAAGGCGCCUAACUGGAACAAACCUGACGGUGAGUAACUAAAGCCAGGGGCGCGAACCG